CAAUAGCGUAUAUUAAAGUUGUUGCAGUUAAAAAGCUCGUAGUUGAAUUUUUGCUUGCCGCCGAUGUCGGAACUUCCGUACGUUCGGCGGCGUGCAUCCUUGGGUGGAACCUGUGUGGCAUUAGGUUGUCGUGCAGGGGAUGCUCAUCGUUUACUGUGAAAAAAUUAGAGUGUUCAAAGCAGGCUUAUGCCGUUGAAUAUAUUAGCAUGGAAUAAUAAGAUAGGACCUUGGUACUAUUUUGUUGGUUUGCGCACCGAGGUAAUGAUUAACAGGGACAGUUGGGGGUAUUCGUAUUCCAUUGUCAGAGGUGAAAUUCUUGGAUUUCUGGAAGACGAACUACUGCGAAAGCAUUUGCCAAGGAUGUUUUCAUUAA
rnacentral:rRNA from 1 species